CUAGUAAAAAAGCUAGAAUAUCAACAUAAGACCAGAAGACCCUGUGAAGCUUAAAUAAAACUAUUAAACCAUAUAAUAACUACUUUCGGUUGGGGCGACCUUGGAAAAAAAGAGAACUUCCAAAUAAAAUGACUAUACCUCAUUAAUCUUAAACAGGCCAACAAGCCAAAAAUGACCCAGCACAGCUGAUAAUUGAACCAAGUUACUCCAGGGAUAACAGCGCAAUCUUCUUCAAGAGCCCAUAUCAAAAAGAAGGUUUACGACCUCGAUGUUGGAUCAGGACAUCCUAAUGGUGCAGCCGCUAUUAAGGGUUCGUUUGUUCAACGAUUAAUA
rnacentral:rRNA from 1 species